rnacentral:rRNA from 1 species
AUUGAACGCUGGCGGCAGGCCUAACACAUGCAAGUCGAGCGAGAGGCAGACGGGUGUAUAAUGUAUGGGGACUGCCCGAUAGAGGGGUAUAACUACUGGAAACGGUGGCUAAUACCGUAUAAUAUCGGAUACCCCAUAUGGGAUUAGCUAGUAGGUGGGGUAAAGGCUCACCUAGGCGACGAUCUCUAGCUGGUCUGAGAGGAUGAUCAGCCACACGGGGACGGAGACACGGCCCAGACUCCUACGGAGGCAGCAGUGGGGAAUAUUGCACAAUGGGCGCAAGCCUGAUGCAGCCAUGUCGCGUGUAUGAAGAAGGCCUUAGGGUUGUAAAGUACUUUCAGCGGGGAGGCGUUACCCGCAGAAGAAGCACCGGCUAACUCCGUGCCAGCAGCCGCGGUAAUUC